rnacentral:misc_RNA from 1 species
AGCUUAAUUCUUAUUAGUGAGCAGGUACAUCUGAGUCGGGAAAUCUAUUAUACACAUGGAGUUAAGUUACAAGUUUUAAAUAAAAUAUCAAAUUAGUCCUAAUUAAACUACACCAGCUUAUUGGCUGAAUCCAUAUCCGGGUGAUCUGUUCACUUUAUUAAUAUGGAGAAUAAGUUACCAGUAAUCCUUCAUUCUCCUCCCCCUCUUAAAAUUAUGUUCCAUGCUCUUAUUAUAUUAACAGCCUUUUCUUUUGAAAUUGUAAUAACCAAUUUCAGAGUGGCUGAAGUGCAGCGAAAAUGUGGGUUCUGUUUGUUUUCACUGAAAAUAUUUUCCUGCAAACAUUUUACAUAUUUUCUGUUGUUUGGGGCGCUCAAAAUAAUUGUUAAUGAAAAAUAUUUUCCUACUCAAAGGGAAAACUAUUAAUUUUAAGGAAAAUGACUUCCCAAAAAGAGGAUUUUUUUUUCCGGACUUUGAUAAACUUCUUAAAAUGUAAAGAAACUAGCAAAUUCAUGACAUAAAUACAUACCCAUAAUUUCACCGGCUACCACCGGCAACCACUGUUGGCCUCUGGCAAUUGGCACAAAU